GUGGGGAAUAUUGGACAAUGGGCGCAAGCCUGAUCCAGCCAUGCCGCGUGAGUGAUGAAGGCCUUAGGGUUGUAAAGCUCUUUUGUCCGGGAAGAUAAUGACUGUACCGGAAGAAUAAGCCCCGGCUAACUUCGUGCCAGCAGCCGCGGUAAUACGAAGGGGGCUAGCGUUGCUCGGAAUCACUGGGCGUAAGGGCGCGUAGGCGGACUCUUAAGUCGGGGGUGAAAGCCCAGGGCUCAACCCUGGAAUAGCCUUCGAUACUGAGAGUCUUGAGUUCGGAAGAGGUUGGUGGAAUUGCGAGUGUAGAGGUGAAAUUCGUAGAUAUUCGCAAGAACACCAGUGGCGAAGGCGGCCAACUGGUCCGAUACUGACGCUGAGGCGCGAAAGCGUGGGGAGCAAACAGGAUUAGAUACCCGAGUAGUCC
rnacentral:rRNA from 1 species